UCUCUUCAGUGUGACAAAGCAUCAGAGAGGACGGGUACCUGCCAGUGCCAGCUUGAGAGCCUUGAAGAUGCUGGGUUUCUGCUGGGAGCUUUCAUAAA